GCAGCCGCGCUUUGGGGCGUCGGCUCACGUGGGGCCGGCAACGCGUCUUCCAGGAUGUUCGCGCGCUAGUCGCCGCUGAGGGGCCGGCGAUGCGCGAGGAGUUCCGGCGAGGAAGGUCGGUCAGUGGACAUGGCCGAGGCCCGCGGUGUCCGCGUGUGGGAGCUGCAGGGCUGAGGAGAGGCCGCCCGCAACCCUCGGGAAUCGUAGACGAGGUCUCACUAUGUUGGCCAGGUUGGUCUCGAAUUCCUGGCCGCAAGCCGUUCUCCAGUCUGGGCCUCCCAAAGUGCUAGGAUUACAGGAACAGAAUUGCCAUUGGGCCCAGGGAGAGACUACACUUCUUGUCUGCUUUGUUGCUAGUGCGGCCUUGUGGCCAAGCACAGAACGUGUGCAGUGAUGAUGGUGCAACUUCUAGGUCGUCCCCAGCAUGGAAAAUGAGCCCUGGGCAUGGAAGAUGAGCCCUGGUCCUGCAGCGGUGCUCUUUCCUCUUCUCACAAGCUGGAAUGUGCAUGUGCUCCCACCCAGCUUUGACCAUGGGGCGAAAACAGUACUCUGCAGUCUGGCAGAGCAACAAGGUGGAAAGGGCCUGGGUCCUUGAGUGACGUCAUGAGCCCUCUCACUGUCCCGACUUUGGGACUGUUAUAUGAUAAGGACUUUCUGUGAGUCACUGUCUUUUAGAGUCUCUCUGUUUUAGCUGCCUGGACUUUAUCCUGAAUAAUAUGGCUGUUAUCAUGGGUAUAGUGUUACUAUGAGCCUCAUCUAAGUAAUUUCUACUCUGCCUUUGACCACUAAACUCAUGUUGGACAAGAGUCACUUAGCAUUAUUUUUUCCUCAAUGAAGAGGUUAAGAUGGAGGGAGCAGGAGAAAUUGAGGCCUGUGUUUUACCAGAAGGUGAAGGGCUGUCUUUGCCUUUCCUACAUUUAUGAAGGAUAAUUCUAGACAAAAACAUUAAGUUCAUAUCAAACCAUCUGCUUUGUGAAGCCAUGGGCUUUGCUAGAACUUUCUGUGACAUGACAUUUAUUAACCCGAGUCUACCUGGAAGUUAGAGCUGAGGAAGUUUUCCUAGAGUGGAAAAAGUCCAAUGCACUUGUAAAAGUCAGACCAAGCUCAGCUCAGAUUUCAGUUUUAUUAGAAGUAUGUCACCUUCCUGAGCCCUUAUUAUUUCCCCAUCUGUGAAAUGAGGACACCGUUCUCUCUUUCUAAGCAUUGCUGGGAAGACCACACACCACUGAGACAGAAGGUGGGGCUAGCGCAGUUCUGGGCAUUUUGU
rnacentral:lncRNA from 1 species